AGUGAACGCUGGCGGUAGGCCUAACACAUGCAAGUCGAACGGCAGCACAGUAAGAGCUUGCUCUUACGGGUGGCGAGUGGCGGACGGGUGAGGAGUACAUCGGAAUCUACUUUUUCGUGGGGGAUAACGUAGGGAAACUUACGCUAAUACCGCAUACGACCUACGGGUGAAAGCAGGGGAUAUUCGGACCUUGCGCGAUUGAAUGAGCCGAUGUCGGAUUAGCUAGUUGGCGGGGUAAAGGCCCACCAAGGCGAGGAUCCGUAGCUGGUCUGAGAGGCGGAUCAGCCACACGGGAACUGGGACACGGUCCAGACCCCUACGGGAGGCACCAGUGGGGAAUAUUGGACAAUGGGCGCAAGCCUGAUCCAGCCAUACCGCGUGGGUGAAGAAGGCCUUCGGGUUGUAAAGCCCUUUUGUUGGGAAAGAAAAGCAGCAGGUUAAUACCCCGCUGUUCUGACGGUACCCAAAGAAUAAGCACCGGCUAACUUCGUG
rnacentral:rRNA from 1 species